CCAGUUUCAGCUUAAAACGGGCAAACUCAGCGUGAAACGCCAUUUGUAUUGAGGUUCUUUGAUGAAGCAGGUGUGGGGAGACAUGAUGGGGUUGAUUCAUGUUGCUGUGGUUGUGCUCGGUCUUCUCUCUGUCGGACAAUCUGCUCCUGUGACCGACUGUGAGAGUCUGAUCCAACCUAUUGAAAUCCAAGGGAGAGACGAGCUGCUGGGCAAAUGGACAAUCUUAGCAGAAGCCACCAACAUAUCUGGAUCCAAAUAUAUUACAAAGAUGUUCGUGGAUAAUGCCUGGGCGAGACUUAGUGCUGCUAAUGAGAGUGAUACCAUCGACACUUUUCAAUAUCAAAAAAUAGCAACCUUUCAAUUCUUCUGCACGGCUCCUGAGUACUGGCUGCCCUGACUGCCUGGUUUUCUCCGCACAAUAUUUCUCUGGAGAGAGCACAUAUAGCGCACUCCAGCUCAUAAGCAGGAGGACCAAGGUGAGUUCUGAUGAGCUGGAAGAGUUUAAGAAGCAGGUUGAGUGUCUGAACUUGCCACCAGCUGCGAUCCUGAACAAAGGAGAAGGUCUCUGCCCAGAGGAGUCUCCAGAGCACAUUGAUCUAACAAAUACCAUGAACCACAUGAACCCUGAAAUUAUCUCCCUAGUUGACAAAAUUCUAGGAAGUAAAGGUGGCUUGGACGUGCUUACACAACUAAUAUCAGUUGGAUUGGAAAGCUUGAAAGAAAACUAACGCUGUCAAAACUAUCGCGACAUGGCUACUUAAUUAGAGGCCAAUUCUGACUCAUGAGACUCCUGAUAAUAGUCAUGACUAUAAUAAAUAUCAAUGGGACUUUUACAUUUUGUUUUGUCUAGCAUCAAACAAAUCCAGAUUUUUUAAUUUGUCUGUGUGGAAAUUUAGAUUUGACAAAAACAUUUGUGAAAUGGAAAUGGUGCGGUUACUGGAAGAACUAGAAACAGAAUAAAGAUUAUUACCAGACAGACCGCUGUUUCAAGGCGCGAUAUCUACGACCCUGUGACGUUUCGCCUUCAAAACAAAUGCUGCAGAGGCGCUCGGUCCCCCCUUCUGUGCAGCCUUCAGAGGUAGUUACAGAGGCGUUUCAAGGGCGAGAUGGGAUCAGCUCAGUCAGCGGGGGAGCACAGUGCUGUGUGUGUGCAUGUCUGACUGUGUGUGUAUGUGGAGCUCCCUCUUUCCUGUGCUUUCUCGUGCUAUCUCAAUGUUGUAAAGCAAUAUGAAUUCACUAACUGGGACACCAAUACUGCACCGCUGCGGAAUCAAUAAGAAUAUCUGAAGGUGUAACGAUGGCACAGCUUAGGUCAGGCGCUGUUUCCGAAUUGAACUCUGAAAAGGGCUAAAAGUGAUUAGCUUUCUUCUGUACUCGUAAUCUUUUUUGAGAAGUCUUUCAAAUAAGUAUUUUUACUUUUACUUUAGUUCACUUCACUGCAUUUUAAAAAGCAUAUGUUACUGAUAAAAAAAAAAUCUAACUUUGAGUAAACUUCUUGAAUCUGGCCAGUUGAUUGGCUUAAUCAUAGCCUAGCUCAUACAAAGAUGGAGAAGGACAGGUCACACCAAAACAUGGACCUGGAGCUGAAAUCCCUGAUGAUGUCGAAGAUGAACAAGAAGAAAUUAAAGUGAAUCCCACCUGGCCACAUUUAAGCAGCCAUGUUUUUCCUUACUGGUAUUUCUACUGCGUCAACAAUCCAGCUGUUUGUCACACUUGAAAUAAAACAUUUUACUUGAAUUUAACUGAACUAAAUUUAACUCUACAACAUUCUUACUCUUUUCUCCGCUGGCUGCCAAGUAUUUUUCACACAUACAAGUCAUUUUUCUUUGUGUUUAUGGUGCAAAAAGCAAAGAACAUGACGGU